AUGGAAGAGCAGUCUGAAGAGGGGAGCAGGUCUGAGAGCAACACAGAGGAGGAAGAUACUAUGAGUGAACCCUCAGAGGAAAGUGAGGAUAUCCAGGAUGAGAUACAAUAUUCUCCACUACAGCAGGCCUCAACUCCAAGUACACUCAGUUCUACUAAGAGGAAAAUCCAACCAAAAGGAGAAAAGGAGGAAGAUUCUAUGAGUGAACCCUCAGAGGAAAGUGAGGAUAUCCAGGAUGAGAUACAAUAUUCUCCACUGCAGCAGGCUUCAACUCCAAGUACACUCAGUUCUACUAAGAGGAAAAUCCAACCAAAAGGAGAAAAGGUGAGCAAAGCCAAGAGCAUUGUAAUCCUGUGGAUGGGAAACAGCUCUUGGACAUUCCUUCUGUAA
ensembl:lncRNA